rnacentral:rRNA from 1 species
AUGGCGGAACGGGCCAAUCUGGUCUUUCAUAAUAAAGAGAUAGACGGAACUGGUAUGAAACGACUUAUUAGCAGAUUAAUAGAUCAUUUUGGAAUGGGAUAUACAUCCCAUAUACUGGAUCAACUAAAGACUCUGGGCUUCCAUCAAGCCACUACUACAUCGAUUUCGUUAGGAAUCGAGGAUCUUUUAACAAUACCCUCUAAGGGAUGGUUAGUCCAAGACGCGGAACAACAGAGUUUUCUUUUGGAGAAACACUAUUAUUAUGGGGCUGUACACGCGGUAGAAAAAUUACGCCAAUCUGUUGAGAUAUGGUAUGCGACAAGUGAAUAUUUGAAACAAGAAAUGAAUUCCAAUUUUCGGAUAACGGAUCCUUCUAAUCCAGUCUAUCUAAUGUCUUUUUCAGGAGCCAGAGGAAAUGCAUCUCAAGUACACCAAUUAGUAGGUAUGAGAGGAUUAAUGUCGGACCCUCAAGGACAAAUGAUUGAUUUACCUAUCCAAAGCAAUUUACGCGAGGGACUUUCUUUGACAGAAUAUAUAAUUUCCUGCUAUGGAGCCCGCAAAGGGGUUGUAGAUACUGCUGUGCGAACAGCAGAUGCUGGAUAUCUUACACGUAGA